AAUUUUCAGAAGAAAAGAACUGCUUUUAUAUUAUAUGUAUUAAUAUUGCGGAGUAUUGCCUAAUCAGUUUGAGAACUUCAGUUUGAAUGAAUAAAUGUGCUUUACAUUCCUAUUUGUUGUAGCUACAUGAAGCUUAAUAUUAAAACGAUGAAAGGGGACAGAACUUGUGGAUAGUCGUAGACAUGUCUUAAGCAAUCAAACUUUACUGUAGCAUCUAUUUACACUUGCAGGAUCAGUCUAAUACAUUAUUGUACGGAUAUGCGCCGAAGAAAAUACAGAAGACGACCAACAAUCGACUUCGUCAAGGGAUCGGGGGAACGACGAAUAAGUUCACAGUAAUCUAUCGUUAUGUCAAAUUUCAAAGGGAUCAGAAAAAAGCUUGAGACAUCGAAAAAUUCUAGUUUUAUUGUAAUGAUAGUUUCUGGUGAAUUUAAAUUUAGUUCGAGAUAACAAAUAAGUGGACGUUGAUUUAAUUCAAAAAUUUACUGUAUAAUACUGUCUAAUUAUAUUAAAUCAAUCGGUGGAAUCGUCUCUUUUAUAAUAUAUUACACCGAAACCAGCAGCUACAUAUAGCAGUAGUAGUAGUAGUAGUAGUAGCAGUAGUGUAGUAGUGGUAGAGUAGUAGUAGCAGUAGUAGGUAUAUAUAUUAUACUAAAGGACUGACUAUGUGCAUAUAUUCCGCAUGAGGCUCAUCCGGGGAUCGUCGACGAUUGCGAAAGGAGAAGGAAGGGAUGGCAGCAGCAGCAACAUCCGCAGCAGCCGCCGAGGGAAUCUUAUCGGCCGCCGUUCCACACACGCACACUAGCACAUACGCUUAUACACGUACACACAUGCACACAUACGCACACACAUACGUCUACUCUAGUCCGCGAGUAUAGUGUAUAUAGUUUCGCCUUCAUUAUUCAUGGCCGUCAG